rnacentral:rRNA from 1 species
AGCUCCAAUAGCGUAUAUUAAAGUUGCUGCAGUUAAAAAGCUCGUAGUUGCAUUUCCGAGGCAAGGGAUUAGUCCGACCUUUGGUGGGUAUUUAAUCCUCUUGCCUCGUCCUUGAGUGGUGCUUCUUGGUAUUAAGUUAUCGAGGAGAUAGCCGCUCAUCGUUUACUGUGAGAAAAUUAGAGUGUUCAAAGCAGGCUUAUGCCGUUGAAUAUAUUAGCAUGGAAUAAUAAGAUAGGACCUCGGUACUAUUUUGUUGGUUUGAGAUCCGAGGUAAUGAUGAAUAGGGACAGUUGGGGGUAUUCGUAUUCAGUUGUCAGAGGUGAAAUUCUUAGAUUUACGGAAGACGAACUACUGCGAAAGCAUUUACCAAGGAUGUUUUCA